GUCUACGGCCAUACCACCCUGAACACGCCCGAUCUCGUCUGAUCUCGGAAGCUAAGCAGGGUCGGGCCUGGUUAGUACUUGGAUGGGAGAAAUUUAAGCCUGUAACA
rnacentral:rRNA from 10 species